rnacentral:ribozyme from 1 species
GCUGCGCUAAAAAUCGCAUACCUCUCCGUGGUGAGCAGCAGGCAACGAUAAAUGAUCGGCUGCAUGA